AAAUCAAAGGCUAAAAUAUAUUUCUCUUCUUCUUCUCACUCUCUCUCUCCUCUCUCUCUCUCUCUCUCAAUUCUCAAAGCUGCAAUGAGAAAUAUCUUAGCAACUUUGCUUCUCCUUCUCAAUGCAUCUCUUUCCAUUCCCACCUAAAGAAGCAGCCUUCUUUGCAUUUCUUGCAUUGCCCAUUUCUGUUUUUUGAGCAUUUUCUUCUUCUUUGAACCUCCGUUUGGUAGAAUUCGACCAGCUUUUUUGGCUGAGAAGCUUCCAUUGAAUGUUCUCUCUCUGCAUUCCAAUCAAGAUAUCGGCGGAAAAUUAGCAUUUUCUUCUGUACCGCUUUCACUGAAAAAUGAUGCCUUGCAUAUUUUCUCUGCUUCUUUCCAAUCUUCCAGCAUUUCCAUCAAAGCCCAGAUCUGUUUUCCAAUAAGAAUCAAUUCUCUGAGAAAGAUCUCAUUGCUUCUGCAGCUUUCAUCUCUGUUUUUCACUUCAUCUGAAUUCGUAACUUCCUUGCCUGCGAAAUCUUGUAUUUCCACCAAAAAACAAUUUCUAUUUCGAUAUCGAAAAUUUCAGCUUCUCUGUUUUGCAGCCAUGAAUCCACCUAAUACAGUGAAAGAAGAGUUCUCAGGAGCAAGCUCCUCCUCGUAUUGGGGUGAUGAUGCUUCAUUGAUGGUCCUUCCCCAGCCGAUGGAGGGCUUGCACGAUGUGGGGCCUCCUCCCUUCCUGACCAAGACAUUCGACAUGGUGGACGAGCCAAGCACUGAACAGGUGGUCUCUUGGAGCAGGGAAGGAAAUAGCUUCAUUGUGUGGGACCCACAUACCUUCUCCAUGAAUCUCCUCCCAAGGCACUUCAAGCACAGCAAUUUCUCUAGCUUUGUCAGGCAGCUCAACACAUAUGGCUUUAGAAAGGUGGAUCCAGACCGAUGGGAGUUUGCAAAUGAAGGAUUUCUUAGAGGGAAGAAAGAUCAGCUGAAGAAUAUCAGGAGGAGAAAGCCACCUUCUCAACCCCCUGCUCAGCAGCAAGAUCUAGGCCCAUACCUUGAAGUUGGAAGAUUCGGAUUGGAUCGAGAAAUCAACCAUCUAAGGCGAGAUAAGAAUGUUCUAAUGAUGGAAUUGGUGAAGCUGAGACACCAGCAACAGAACACUAGAGCCCAUCUCCAAGCCAUGGAAGAGAGGCUACAAGGAACAGAGCAAAGACAGCAACAGAUGUUGACUUUCUUGGCUAGAGCUAUGCAAAACCCCACAUUCAUACAGCAACUGAUCCAACAGAAGGAGAAAAGGAAGGAGCUUGAAGAAGCGAUGACCAAGAAAAGGAGGUGGCCGAUUGAUAAACCGCCCAAUGGCAGCAGUAUCGGCAAUUCGAGCGGGACCCAUGAUCAUGAAACACAACUCAAGUUUGAUUGUACGAAUUUCAAAGAACUCUAUGGGUUCGAAGUAUCAGAGCUAGAGGCUCUUGCAUUGGAGAUGCAAGGAUUGCGGAAAUCUACCAGAGAUGGAGAGGAGGAAGAAGAAGAUGAAGAAAAGAAUGAAGAAAAAGAUAUGAAUGAUGAUUUUUGGGAUGAAUUGAUGAAUGAGAGAUUUAGAGAAGAUGUCAGAGGAAGCGAAGAUGAAGAUGUGAAUGCCUUGACUGAAAGGUUGGGGUAUUUGGGUUCUGGCCCAAGAUAGAAAGAGAGAGUCCUAAGGGGUGUUUGUUCUGCUUAUAGAUUUUCCUUCCAAUUUGGUUUUGUGGGAGGCUAUACAUUCCUUCCUCUGAUGACUCUGAAAUGGCUUUUGGUUGUUUUGUUUCUCUGAAUUUGGUUCUGCAGUGCUAGAAAACUGAAACAUUCAUUUGGGGUAUUUGGAUUUUGAAAGAUGUUAAAAUUAUAGUCAGUACCCUUACAAUGAAAGAGCAUGUGAGGGAACCAAGCGACUGAAUCCACGGCAUAAUGAGGUUCGAAAGUGGGAUGGCUCCAAAAUUCAAACCAUAACGGUCAGACGAUAUCUUUGGAAUUCUGUUAUUAAAAGUUACGUAUUUUUGUACUAGUGAAAAAGGUUGGUAGAGUAGCUUUCUGUUAUUAAAAGUUGGAUAUUUUUGUACUUGUGAAAUGGUUGGGACAGUGGGAUUGAUGCCUUUAUAAAGGUUGGAUGGUGUUGGUGAUGUAAUAUUUGUACGUUCAUUGUCUGAUAGGCGUAGUUUUGUCAUUUCUGCCUUCUUUCAUGAA